UACGUAGGGUGCAAGCGUUGUCCGGAAUUAUUGGGCGUGAAGAGCUCGUAGGCGGUUUGUUGCGUCGGCUGUGAAAUCCCGAGGCUCAACCUCGGGUCUGCAGUCGAUACGAGCAAACUAGAGUGUUGCAGGGGAGACUGGAAUUCCUGGUGUAGCGGUGAAAUGCGUAGAUAUCGGGAGGAACACCAGUGGCGAAGGCGGUUGCCUGGAGCUUUGCUGACGCUGAGGCGCGGAAGCGUGGGGAGCGAUCCGG
rnacentral:rRNA from 1 species